UCUUGUUUUGUUGUAAAAAAACUCACAUUAGAAUUUUAACUAGAACUACUAAAGAUGUUAACAAUUUGGACUAAUAAUGUUAUUGUAAAAAGAAAUGACUAAAUUAUAUCAUUUAAAUAUAAAGAUUAAAUCUCAAAUAUGAGUAUAAUAAAGGAAUCAUAACUGUAAUUUGACCAUUAUUUUAUAAUGACUAAAAAGAG
rnacentral:lncRNA from 1 species